GCAUAUCAAUAAGCGGAGGAAAAGAAACCAACAGGGAUUGCCUCAGUAACGGCGAGUGAAGCGGCAACAGCUCAAAUUUGAAAUCUGGCCUCUUUGGGGUCCGAGUUGUAAUUUGUAGAGGAUGUUUCGGGCACCGCUCCGGUUUAAAUUUCUUGGAACAGAAUGUCAAAGAGGGUGAGAACCCCGUCUUGGACCGGCAGUAGGGCCCAUGUGAAACUCCUUCGACGAGUCGAGUUGUUUGGGAAUGCAGCUCAAAAUGGGUGGUAAAUUUCAUCUAAAGCUAAAUAUUGGCCAGAGACCGAUAGCGCACAAGUAGAGUGAUCGAAAGAUGAAAAGCACUUUGAAAAGAGAGUUAAACAGUACGUGAAAUUGUUGAAAGGGAAGCGCUUGCAACCAGACUUGCGCGCGGCGGUUCCCCCUUCCUUUUGGUUGGGUUAUUCCGCCGUGUCCAGGCCAACAUCGGUUCUGGGGGUCGGUUAAAGGCCUGGGGAAUGUAUCUACCCUUCGGGCGUAGACUUAUAGCCCCGGGUGUCAUGCGACCUCCCGGGACCGAGGAACGCGCUUCGGCUCGGAUGUUGGCGUAAUGGUUGUCAGCGACCCGUCUUGAAACACGGACCAAGGAGUCUAACAUCUAUGCGAGUGUUUGGGUGUCAAACCCGGAACGCGGAAUGAAAGUGAACGGAGGUAGGAAGCUUCGGCUGCACUAUCGACCGAUCCUGAUGUCUUCGGAUGGAUUUGAGUAAGAGCAUAGCUGUUGGGACCCGAAAGAUGGUGAACUAUGCCUGAAUAGGGUGAAGCCAGAGGAAACUCUGGUGGAGGCUCGCAGCGGUUCUGACGUGCAAAUCGAUCGUCAAAUUUGGGUAUAGGGCGAAAGACUAAUCGAACCAUCUGGUAGCUGGUUCUGCCGA
rnacentral:rRNA from 1 species